rnacentral:tRNA from 1 species
GCCUCCGUAGCUCAACGGACAGAGCGGCGAGUUUCUUACCUCGCAUCGGUGCGGGUUCGACGUCUGCCAGAGGCUCCA